rnacentral:tRNA from 1 species
AAACUUUUAGUAUAAUUUAAGUAUUUUUAAUUGCAAAUUAAAGGGUUAAAAGUUUU